GAUGAACGCUGGCGGCGUGCCUAAUACAUGCAAGUCGAGCGAACAGACGAGGAGCUUGCUCCUCUGACGUUAGCGGCGGACGGGUGAGUAACACGUGGAUAACCUACCUAUAAGACUGGGAUAACUUCGGGAAACCGGAGCUAAUACCGGAUAAUAUAUUGAACCGCAUGGUUCAAUAGUGAAAGACGGUUUUGCUGUCACUUAUAGAUGGAUCCGCGCCGCAUUAGCUAGUUGGUAAGGUAACGGCUUACCAAGGCAACGAUGCGUAGCCGACCUGAGAGGGUGAUCGGCCACACGGGAACUGAGACACGGUCCAGACUCCUACGGGAGGCAGCAGUAGGGAAUCUUCCGCAAAGGGCGAAAGCCUGACGGAGCAACGCCGCGUGAGUGAUGAAGGUCUUCGGAUCGUAAAACUCUGUUAUUAGGGAAGAACAAAUGUGUAAGUAACUAUGCACGUCUUGACGGUACCUAAUCAGAAAGCCACGGCUAACUACGUG
rnacentral:rRNA from 1 species